CCAAAUGCAAUCUUUUUAUUUGAGAAGGACAAUCUCAAGGCAGUGCCCUUUGGGAAAGGCAUCUCUCAUCAUCAGAUACAUCAAGAUCAACCAUUACUCUCGGCAAGGUACAAAAAUACACGCAUCAGUGACUUCCAUACAAUAAAUACAUAAUCAUGCAUCCCACAAUAAAAGGCACAGAAACCUGGUCACUUAGUAGUCAUAAAAAUUACUAGCUACAUUAACAAAGCCACCCAAAUUAUCAGUAUAAGGAACUGUAACAAUAUAUUCCAAAGGUGAAAACACAUAAAACAUCUUUAAAAUAGUAUGCAAUAAAUAUCUCAAUUGUUGUAUAUAUUUUAAAAAUUAUGCCAUUGUAAACAGCAUGUAAACAAACAAAACUCACGUUUUCUUACCAUUAUUAAAAGUUAUUAGAGCUAAAGUUAUGACCUCUGCUCUCUCAGGUAUAUUUCACUGGCAAGUGUGCUAAGCAGUUUAAAGUUUCACUCUUUUCUGCAGCAAACAGAGCCCACUGUAUAAUAAAUAGAUAGGAUCUCCAUCUUUCAGAUCAAAGUUUCAAAACAGACUACAAAAAUGUAGUAAAUUAUUAGCUAUAAGUAAUAUGGCAAAGGCUAGAGUACAACUAUCUUCUGCAAUGCAAGGGACAAAAGGAACUAUGCUGUUAGAUAUUCACUGUGAUGAUAAAUAAGAGGCAAAUCAUUGCUAAUUCUCUUUAUUGAAAGGUAGAAUGAUGCUACUGAGCGUAACGGUCAAGCGUCCAGUCUUCUGAGCCUCCUUUGUUUGUGGGUCUUUCACAACACGGAACAGAGCAAAGUUCUAUCCAACUACGAAUUUCUUUUUGCUAGAGAACAUAGAAAUGGUUGAUAUUUUAUACUGAUGGGAAGUGGUGACUUCAAAAUAUGCCUAUCAAAAUGGGAUCUUCCUGACCCAGGGAUUGAAUCUGCAUCUCCUACAAUGGCAGGUGGGUUCUUCACCACUGAGCCGCCAGAGAAGCCAUUAAGACAGAUCAAAACACAGCAUGCAGGAUCCUAGUUCCCUGGCCAAGGAUUGAACCCGUGCCCCCUGCACUGGAAGCACAAGUCUUAACCACUGGACCUUUGGUGAAGUCCCUAUCGUUACUGAGUUUAACGCAGCCUUGGUUACUGUGAUAAGCUUCUCCUGAAAAUAACAGAAAGAAAUACACAAAUAGGAAGGCAUCCCAUUGCAAAGUCAACAUAUUAUCCAUCUAAGACAGAAACUGCUAUACAGGAGUCACUGGGGAGAUGCCGGAGCAGACAGAAACAAGCCCCGGGCCCCCUGGCAUCGGGCGAGGGGCACUGAGGGGACAGACGUGGCAGCCAAGCUCUGGAAAACACUUGGGAAGCCAUCCCACUGACCAACAUGAGUACUGAGGACUCUGCACUUCCCAUUCUUUCAGCUGACUUAAAGAACUGUCACUUUGGUCAUCAGUCCAAGCUGCAUGUGAAACAUUCAAGAUAAGUUCAUUUUGGAAGGGGGCGGCAGGAGGGACCGUAGAUGUCAAGGUUGAGAGAUGUAAUGUUUUUAGAGCUUAAUGAGAAGCAGUAUCAUUAAAGAAUUCACAUCUGUACAACAUUAAAAGUCCACUAUGUUGUCAACUCUGUUGGGCAAACGGGUCAUUUACUU
rnacentral:lncRNA from 1 species